GACGAACGCUGGCGGCGUGCCUAACACAUGCAAGUCGAACGAUGAACCGGAGCUUGCUCUGGGGGAUUAGUGGCGAACGGGUGAGUAACACGUGGGCAACCUGCCCCAGACAUCGGGAUAACCACUCGAAAGAGUGGCUAAUACCGAAUACGACCACUUUGGGCAUCCAACGGUGGUGGAAAGGAUUCUGGUCUGGGAUGGGCCCGCGGCCUAUCAGCUAGUUGGUGGGGUAAUGGCCUACCAAGGCGACGACGGGUAACCGGCCUGAGAGGGCGACCGGUCACACUGGGACUGAGACACGGCCCAGACUCCUACGGGAGGCAGCAGUGGGGAAUAUUGCGCAAUGGGCGAAAGCCUGACGCAGCGACGCCGCGUGAGGGACGAAGGUCUUCGGAUUGUAAACCUCUUUCAGCAGGGACGAAGCGAAAGUGACUGUACCUGCAGAAGAAGCACCGGCUAACUACGUGCCAGCAGCCGCGGUAAU
rnacentral:rRNA from 1 species